rnacentral:rRNA from 1 species
CCUACGGGGGGCAGCAGUGGGGAAUAUUGGACAAUGGGGGGAACCCUGAUCCAGCGACGCCGCGUGAGUGAAGAAGUAUUUCGGUAUGUAAAGCUCUAUCAGCAGGGAAGAAAGAAAUGACGGUACCUGACUAAGAAGCCCCGGCUAACUACGUGCCAGCAGCCGCGGUAAUACGUAGGGGGCAAGCGUUAUCCGGAUUUACUGGGUGUAAAGGGAGCGUAGACGGCGAUGCAAGUCUGAAGUGAAAGGCGGGGGCCCAACCCCCGGACUGCUUUGGAAACUGUAUGGCUGGAGUGCAGGGGAGGUAAGUGGAAUUCCUAGUGUAGCGGUGAAAUGCGUAGAAAUUAGGAGGAACACGAGUGGCGAGGGCGGCUUACUGGACUGUAACUGACGUUGAGGCUCGAAAGCGUGGGGAGCAAACAGGAUUAGAUACCCCUGUAGUC